rnacentral:rRNA from 1 species
CCAAACUCCUACGGGAGGCAGCAGUGGGGAAUAUUGCACAAUGGGGGAAACCCUGAUGCAGCAACGCCGCGUGAGUGAAGAAGUAUUUCGGUAUGUAAAGCUCUAUCAGCAGGAAAGAAAAUGACGGUACCUGACUAAGAAGCCCCGGCUAACUACGUGCCAGCAGCCGCGGUAAUACGUAGGGGGCAAGCGUUAUCCGGAUUUACUGGGUGUAAAGGGAGCGUAGACGGUUUUGCAAGUCUGAAGUGAAAGCCCGGGGCUUAACCCCGGGACUGCUUUGGAAACUGUAGAACUAGAGUGCAGGAGAGGUAAGUGGAAUUCCUAGUGUAGCGGUGAAAUGCGUAGAUAUUAGGAGGAACACCAGUGGCGAAGGCGGCUUACUGGACUGUAACUGACGUUGAGGCUCGAAAGCGUGGGGAGCAAACAGGAUUAGAUACCCUGGUAGUCCACGCCGU